rnacentral:rRNA from 1 species
UACGUAGGGGGCUAGCGUUGUCCGGAAUCAUUGGGCGUAAAGAGCGUGUAGGCGGCCAGGUAGGUCUGCUGUGAAAACUCGAGGCUCAACCUCGAGACGUCGGCGGAAACCAUCUGGCUAGAGUCCGGAAGAGGAGAGUGGAAUUCCUGGUGUAGCGGUGAAAUGCGCAGAUAUCAGGAGGAACACCGGUGGCGAAGGCGGUUCUCUGGGCCUUACCUGACGCUGAGGAGCGAAAGCGUGGGGAGCGAACAGG